GCGGACGUGGCGAAACUGGUAGACGCAAGAGACUUAAAAUCUCUCAGCUGCAAGGCUAUGCGGGUUCGAUCCCCGCCGUCCGCACCA
rnacentral:tRNA from 1 species